rnacentral:rRNA from 1 species
CCUACGGGCGGCUGCAGUGGGGAAUAUUGGACAAUGGGGGGAACCCUGAUCCAGCCAUGCCGCGUGUGUGAAGAAGGCCCUCGGGUUGUAAAGCACUUUCAGUGAGGAAGAACGCCUGGUGGUUAAUACCCAUCAGGAAAGACAUCACUCACAGAAGAAGCACCGGCUAACUCCGUGCCAGCAGCCGCGGUAAUACGGAGGGUGCGAGCGUUAAUCGGAAUUACUGGGCGUAAAGCGCGCGUAGGUGGCUUGAUAAGCCGGUUGUGAAAGCCCCGGGCUCAACCUGGGAACGGCAUCCGGAACUGUCAAGCUAGAGUGCAGGAGAGGAAGGUAGAAUUCCCGGUGUAGCGGUGAAAUGCGUAGAGAUCGGGAGGAAUACCAGUGGCGAAGGCGGCCUUCUGGACUGACACUGACACUGAGGUGCGACAGCGUGGGUAGCAAACAGGAUUAGAUACCCUUGUAGUC